UCCGCCUCAGCUGUUUCCUGACAGUUCUACACGCCACCUGGAAAGGGGGGGGCUUCCGCCCAAGCUGUUUCCUGAUAGUCCGACACGCCACCUGGAAAGUUCAUAGUGAACCGUGUGACAGACAGAGCUGGAAAGAGAAGCAUCAGUGAACUGGUCCUUGGUCUUGGUCCGACUGAGAAAGCUGCUGCUGCUGCUGCCGCCUCCUCAGGCUGCCUGCAGAGGUCAAACAAUGCUUGAUAAACUGGUUUUCCGUGACUCUCAGAGCACCAGUCUCGUCAACUCAAGUUGAAAACAAGUCCAUACAUAUAUAAAUGUGUAAGUAAAAUUGAAAUGAGUUUACAUUCUCAGGGUUUUUAUCAUGAAUUGUAAAUAUGAAGACCCAUUCAGGAAAACAGAAGAACAGUGGAAGACUGUGGACUGUUGUUACCAUCCACAUCUUAUCAUAAAUGAUAAUAUCCUAUGGAAAUAUUCUAUGUCAGCAUGUCAAAGAUAAGUUUUAAUGGUUUUAUUAUUAGCUGCGUAGUAAUUCUGUUCACUUGAAGAAUGCAAUAAAUAUGACCCACAUUUAAAAUGUACAUCACUAAAUUUAAUAAUUAAGUUUAUUGCACUUUAAAAAUAGCAGUCAAUUUCAAGGUGAGCUUAAUUACACUUCAUAAUGCCAUCAGAGUUGUAUAAAUAUACAUGCGAUACACAUAGUAUGUUUUUGGUGCUGUGAAUUGAGAAUUUGGGGUUUUAUUGGUCUUCUGAUCACACAUCAAUCCCCCAUUUAAAGAACACUUUUUUUCGACUCUCUGUUACUUCAUUAGAUCUUAAUUAAUUAGACCUGCACAACAUUUGGCUUCACAGAAGAAGACUACACAAAUAAAUCAAUGGUAGAAAGCUACAGUUAAAGGAUAACUUUCGUUUUUUACAA